UGAACAUUCCGUAAAUUUUUGUGCUAUUAUUUUUAGAAGAAAGAAGAAAAGAAUGUAAUAUUUUUUAUUUACUUGGAAGUGUCCUUGAAUCACCGGCCGUUUCCCGCCAUUUCCAUGGACGAUUCAGGCUACAAUUGACGGUCGAGGCUGUUCUUUUUCACGAUGGUGUUGUGCCAUUUUUGUAUCUUUUUCCUACAUUUUCACAAAGGGCUAUUAGUGCAUUAAGUUGUUUCGUGAGUGUUGAACAGUGUGUAGUUAGCUGGUUCAUUGUAGCUGUUUCAAGGAAAGGAUUGUUGCCUUCAAAGGGAAGGAUUUACAAAUGGUAAAUCAACUCUCUCUGCUGGCAGUCAGGUUAGUGAGCAUGUUAGAAUUAAUAUUUUAUUAUUGCCCCAGCAGCCAAUAUAACCCUCUCUGUUUAAUACUAUCUGUCCUAUCUGCAAAUUUUAAUACAGGUAGUGUUUCAAAAGUAAAACCUAUUACCUAUUACAGCACCUUCUUAGAAGGGUUAGAAUUUAAAGUUCGGGUUUUCCCAACUAGAUAAAGUUUUCAUUUUUUGUAGUGAACUUCUUUAAUACAAACGGUUUCGUGGCCUCCUGUUUUGCGAGAAGCCUAGAUGGCAGGCACAGAUUGACACCUCUUUCUGUCGAAAUUUGUAGGUCACUUUAGGUCACUGUACAAUUAAUACAAUUUUUUGUAUUAUCUCGUAAAUAAGUUUUGUAUGUAAAUUACAUUUAAUUUAUUGUA